rnacentral:rRNA from 1 species
UGAGGAAUAUUGAGCAAUGGGCGAAAGCCAGACUCAGCAACGCCGCGUGGACGAUGAAGGCCUUCGGGUCGUAAAGUCCUUUUCAGGGGGACGAGAGAGGACGGUACCCCUGGAAUAAGUCACGGCUAACUACGUGCCAGCAGCCGCGGUAAAACGUAGGUGGCGAGCGUUAUCCGGAUUCAUUGGGCGUAAAGCGCCUGCAGGCGGUCUCGUAAGUGGGAUGUGAAAUCUCCUGGCUCAACUGGGAGAGGCCAUUCCAUACUGCGGGACUUGAGGGCAGAAGAGGGAAGCGGAAUUCCCGGUGUAGUGGUGAAAUGCGUAGAUAUCGGGAGGAACACCAGUGGCGAAGGCGGCUUCCUGGUCUGCUCCUGACGCUAAGAGGCGAAAGCUAGGGGAGCGAACGGGAUUAGAAACCCCGGUAGUCCUAGCCGUAAACGAUGGAUACUAGGUGUCGGUGGUCCUAACCCCAUCGGUGCCGAAGCCAACGCGUUAAGUAUCCCGCCUGGGGACUACGGCCGCAAGGUUAAAACUCAAAGGAAUUGACGG